rnacentral:rRNA from 1 species
GUGCCAGCCGCCGCGGUAAGACAGGAGGAGCAAGUGUUAUUCAGAAUUACUGGGCGUAAAGCGCGCGUAGGCGGUUUUGUCAGUCGGAUGUGAAAGUUCAGGGCUCAACCCUGAAAUGUCGAUCGAUACUGUUGUGACUAGGAUACGGUAGAGGUGAGUGGAAUUCCGAGUGUAGCGGUGAAAUGCGUAGAUAUUCGGAGGAACACCAAUUGCGAAGGCAGCUCACUGGGCCGCUAUCGACGCUGAGGAGCGAAAGCUAGGGGAGCAAACAGGAUUAGAUA